UUGACAAAGAUAUGAUGGACUAUUUGGUGAGAUACAUAAUAGGCAAGCCUUUUCCACGUAAACAUAACGUUAUAUCAUGGUUGAGUUGUUUAUUCAAUAGGUAGAGCUGAUUAAUUCAAAUAGUAGUUAGAAUUUCAAUAAUUAGUUAGAAGGCUUUUGGACGAGUAGAAGCAACCACUGAGAUUACAAGUAACUAAAUGGGCUGUAAGGGGCUAUAUUAUGCCAUGUCAUCAUACUCCACCUUAACUCAAGUCACGGUCAAAAUCAACUUCCAGGAGAGAGAAGAGGCAUUGAUCAAAUUGGUUGGAGAUCUAUCCAUAGCGAUUCACAAUUUUAGUUUAUUUUUCUUUCGUUACCUGUAAUUUUAGUGAAAUUUCAUUAAGUUUGAAUAUUAAAAAUUGCACCAAAAAACUUAUUGUCCCGAGGUUGUUGGAUUUCAUUGAGUUUAGUUGAAUUUCAUGGAGUUUUAGUUCCAUAAUUGAGGUCAGCUCUGGACAAUUGAUAUCAGAGCCACGAUUUAUGCAACCUGUGGUUGUAGACAUAGUUGAAGGGACUCGUUCUAAAGUUGUAGAGGAUCGGGUAGCUCGAUAUGAGAAAUUUUUGGCUGAGCUAGUGAACCAGCAAUAGGAGGUUUGUAACAAUCAAAUAGGGAUACAAGGAUCAAUGGAACUUAUUUUGGAACAAUUGAUGAACUUAGAAAGGGCACUGACUCGGAGAAAUGGAGAUCAACUACUCGGUGAUGGAUUGCUUCCUAUUCCUGGCAGGAAAUAGAAAUAACAGGGGAAACAUGGUUUCGAUACCUUCUCUUAAAUUGAAACUACCUAGCUUUGAUGGAAAGGAGCCUAAGGUAUGGAUUCAAAAAUUUGAGAGAUUUCAUUUUGUAUGAAACUAUUAAACAACGAAAAGUAGAAGCAACAAUUCUAUAUUUAAAUGGAGUUGCAAAAAUUUGGUAUCACUCGUUAGUAAUGAGUAGAGGAGUGACAGGAUGGGCUAAAUUUAAGAAGGAACUAUGAAGCAGGUUUAGUUUGGAACCACCGAAAGAUGUAGUAUAAGAGUUCAAUAAACUCUCUUAAACAAGAACUAUAGAUGCGUUGUUAGUGGAGUUUGAAGAAUUGAAAGCCCAAUUAUUCAUGAGAAAUCCUAAUUUGAAUGAGUCUCAUUUUUUAUCUAGCUUUGUGGGAGCAUUUAAAGAAGAGAUUACGUAUGGGGUUAAACUGUUUAAACCUACUACUCUUAAGCUUGCAGUAUAACAAGCUAGGCUUCAAUAGAAGGCUAUUGAAGUAUUGUAAAAGAAGAACAAAAUGAUCCUACAAAAACCUUGUUGUGAUGGGAGGGACUCAAACGAGUACUAUGAAACCUAAAACUACUGGUAAUCCACCUGGUAAAAUAGUUCAUUCAGAUUAACUCAUAAAGUGUAUGAGUAUGGAAGGUUAAUCACCUAUGUUUUGUGUGUGAAGAUAAAUUUAUAUCAGGUCACAUAUGUAAGAAGAAGCAACUCAAUUGUUUAGUGGGUGAGGCUGAACCUAUGAUGGAGGUUAAUGAAGAUACUUAUGAAUUGAUAUUAGAAGGGGAGAUUGAGCAUGAAGUCCAAGAAGUUGUGUGCUUAAAUGCAUUAAAAGGGGGCAACAGAGGUAUCAAUUCUACACUAGUGAAGGGAAUUGUAAAGAACAGAAACUUGGCUGUGCUUGUGGAUUCUAGGAGCACCCAUAGUUUUAUUGAUGAGCAUACUAUGAGGGAAAGUGGUAACUAUUUUAGUUAUUUCUCUACAAUUAGAGUCACUGUAGCUGAUGGAAACUAUGUAAUGUGUAAAUCUAACAGUAAGGGGUUCACUUGGAAGAUGUAGGGAAAAAUAUUUCAAAAAGACUUGCUCAUGAUUCCUCAAGGAGUUUGUGAUAUAGUGCUGGGUAAUGACUAGAUGAAGAAAAAUAAUCCCACCAAGUUUGAUCAUGAAAAGAAUAGUGUAAUGAUUGGAAGGAAAAACAACAAGGUGGUUUUGUAGGGCGUUGCUAAAAAGGGUAGUCUGAGCAUGAUCUCUGGGAGUUUAAUGAGAAAGGUUCUUAAGAAAAGACAGGCCAUCAUGGAUCACUUAUUUUUAGUGCAAGCUAGUGUCUGCAGUGAUCAAACAGCAAUAUAUGAUCAGAUACAAUAGUGUCUGCAACGAUUAAGUAGUAAUAGAUGAUUAAAUUCAACAGGUGUUAGUGUAGUAUGCAGAGGUUUUCAGUGAACUAAAGUCCUUACCCCUUGUGAGAUCAUUAGAUCAUGCUAUACCCCUCAAACCUGGAGAAACACCAGUCAGUUUGAGACCUUACCGGUAUAGGAGAGCAAGUCAAAGAAAUGCUAGAUCAUGGCAUUAUUAAACAGAGUCAGUCCCCUUUUUCCUCUCUAGCUCUACUAGUCAAGAAGAAUGACAACACUUGGAGGCUUUGUGGAGACUACAAAGGAUUAAAUAAAAUCACCAUUACAAGUAUCCUAUUCCAAUUGUAGAUGAUUUACUAGAUGAGCUGCAUGGUUCAAUUAUUUUUUCAAAGAUGGAUCUCCGGGCUGGAGAUCAUUAGAUAAGUAUAAAGAUAGAUAAUGUGCACAAGACUGCUUUUAGAACUCAUGAAGGCCACUAUGAAUUCAAGGUCAUGUUAUUUGGGCUGACCAAUACACCAAUAAUAUUUCAAGCUUUAAUGAAUCAGGUUUUCCAACCUUACCUUAUAAAAUUUGUAUUAGUUUUCUUUGAUGAUAUAUUAGUGUACAAAUUAUUAGUUGAGGACCAUAUUAAUCAUAUUAAGGUUGUAUUUGCUACCUUAAGAUAGCAUCCAUUAUUUUCAAAAAAGUCUAAGUGCUCAUUUGGUCAACCCAAAGUGGAGUAUUUAGGUCAUUUUAUAAACUAGGAUGGGGUGUCCACUGAUUCCACUAAGAUACAAGUUAUGGUUGAAUGGCCUACUCCCAGUUCAAUUAGAGCACUUAGGAGAUUUCUAGGGUUGACGGGAUAUUAUAAAAAGUAUGUUUCAAACUAUGGUACACUAUGCAAAUCCUUGACAGACUCAUUGAAGAAGGAUUCUUUUAAGUUGAACGAGGAUGCUGACAAGGCUUUUGUUGAUAUCAAGGUUGCAAUGUCCACUACACCUAUAUUAGCUCUAUCAAAUUAUUCUAAACAAUCCAUAGUAAAAAUUUAUAUAAGUCACUAUGGUAUAUGGGCAAUUUUAAUGCAAGAUGAUAGACCUAUUACCUAUUUCAGUAAAUACCUCAUCAGCACAGAGGUAAGUCAAUUUAUGAAAAGGAGUACAUGGAUCUCUUGAAUAUAGUGAAUAAGUUGAGAUACUACCUGUAGUUCAAGCAUUUUGUGGUCAGAACUGGCCACUAAAUCUUAAAAUAUCUGUUCAAACAAAAGGUGACUUCAGCUUUACAACAAAAAGGUUUCACUAAACUCUUGGGGCUAGACUAUAAAGUUUAAUACAUGAAGGGCGCAGAGAAUAGAGUUGUUGAUUCUCUAUCAAGGCAGCAUGAGAAACUUGGAGAUUAUACUAUCCAAACUUCUAGAUAUGUUUUGACAAUGGGUGUUACGAUUCCUAGGUGGAUGCAAGAGGUAGGUAUUAGCUAUACAUAUAAAGCUCUUGCUCAAGAGCUCAUGGUUUAAUUAUCUAUAGAUUUACAAGGACCUAAUAUUUGGGAUCUUAACUCUAGUGUUUUGAGAAUGAUAGGGAAGAUCUAUGUAGGGAGUAUUGGAGAAUUAAGACAACAAUUAAUCUCAACCUUUCAUGUUUCUCCUAUGGGAGGUCACUCUGGUCAGUUAGUCAUAUUCAAUAGAUUAGCUCUACUAUUUUAUUGGUCAAACAUAAAGAAAAUGGUGGUGCAACAUAAUGAGAGAUGUGAUAUAUUCACAGGAAUAAGGAUUAAAAUUUAGCAUACCUAGGGCUACUACAACCUCUAUCCAACCCUAACCAAACUUAGAGUCACAUAAGUAUGGAUUUCAUUGAAUAAUUACCAAGAUCCAGGUCCAAAUAUGUAUUAUUAGUGGUGGUGGAUAGACUUUCCAAAUAUAUAUUUUAUUGCUCUUGCACACUAUUUUACUGUAGCUAUUGUAGCUCAGAAAUUCUAGAAAAAGGUACAUUGCUUACAUAGCAUUCCUAAGUCCAUUGUUACUAAUAGGGACAAGGUUUUUCAUAGUAGCUUCCUACAAUCUUUCUUCAAAUUAGUGGGCAAUGAACUACAUUAUAGCAUUGCUAUCUCCCUCAAAGUGAUGGCCAGACUGAAAGAGUGAAUAAGUGUAUUGAGAAUUACCUAAGGUGUAUGACUUUUAGCAGACCUACUUAGUGGAAAUAAUGGCUUCCUUCUGCACAAUGAUGGUAUCACACCAACUUUCAUAUAGGUUUAUUAUGUACUCCCUUUUAGUCUCUUUAUGUAUAUUCACCACCACAACUAUCUCUUGGACCUUUUCUUGAAACUGUUGUUUCGCAUCUAGGAUACAAUUUUGCAGAGACAACAAACUAGUUAUUAAAGAACAACUUGCAUUGAGAGAAUGAAGUUUUAUGCUGACAGGAGAAGAUAUAACAAAGUGUUUCAGGUAGGUGACAUGGUUUAUCUCAAACUUCAACAUUAUUGGCAGACUUCUGUUUCCUUGAGAAAAAAUAAAGUUAAGUUCCAAAUGGAAUACAAGAUAUACUUUAGAAGUGGGUGGAUUACAAAUUAGCUUUUCCACCCACUUCUAAAGUAUAUCUUGUAUUCUAUGUGUCCCUUUUGAAGAAAAAGAUAGGUGACAAACAUAUAGCUCAAACUAUUCUACCUAUAACUGGUGAGAAUGGACAAUUUUGGUGUAACUUGUUUCUAUCCUACAGAGAAAAAUGGUGAAGAAUAAUAAUAUGGCUAAGGUGAAAGUUCUUAUUCAGUGGUCAAACCUCCCCUCGAGGAUGCAACUUGGGAAAAUUAUGACUUUAUAAGAGCAGAAUUUCGUGACUUUAUUAUCAAUCCUUAAGGACAAUAAUAUAUUUGGGUGGGGGGUAUUGUCAUAGUUGAGUUGUUUAUUUGAUAAGUAGAGAUGAUUAAUUCAAUUAGUAGUUAGAAUUUCAAUAAUUGGUUAGAAGGAUUUUGGGAGAGUGGAAGCAACGGCAGAGAUUAGAAGUAAUAAAAUAAAGUGCAAGGGCCCAAAUUAUGCCAUGUCAGCAAACUCCACCUCAGCUUAAGUCCCGGUAAAAAUAAACUUCCAGGAGAGAGAAGAGCCAUUGAUCAAAUUGGUAUUUCCUCAUGCUCUCUUUUCUAACAAAAAAUCCUUCAAACUUUGCUCACUUCUCUUCUUAUUCUCCUUCUAAUUCUCUUAUAUUAUUUACAAGUUGGAGCUCUAUCCAUGGUGAUUCACAAUGCAGUUUAUUUUUCUUUCAUUACCUGCAAUUUUAGUUAAAUUCCAUUAAGUUUGUAUAUUGAAAAUUUCCCCAAAAACUUCUUGUCCUGAGAUUGUUAAUUUUAUUUAGUUUAAUGGGAUUUUGUUGAUUUAAGUUACAUAAUUGAGGUCAGGUUAUGACACGUUACAGAAGUGGAUGAUGUUUACGAAAUCAGAGUGCUUACCCCAGUGCAAAUAUUUGAAUCUAUGAAAGGGGCGAAGAAGAUUACAUGCUAUUUGAUCACUUUUCAGAAGGAAAAGGUGAGGAAAUUUUAUAGUAAAGUUGCUCCAGGGAUUUGGAAACCUAUAGGCAAAGUAAAACCAAUUUUUGAUGGUAAGAAGAGACACAUGGGCAACGUCAAAAUUUCCUAGUACUACUACGUUGGUAGAGACAAGUCGUCAUUGAGAAAGUGUAAGUGGCAUAUGAGAGUAUAUUAUCUCACUGAUAAUUAUCUUCAGAAAAAACAAGUUGUGAUAAAAGAUGUCCUAUUUACCAUGAUGAUCAAUGCCAAGGUACAAUAGCUAAUAAUGACAAUGAAUAGAAAUCUGAUGACAUGAAGAUUAUUCAAUCUCAACAAGGUCUGAUUUCUCAUAAUGAUGUUGUAUCUUACCAAGGCAUAUCUGUUAUGAAGCAGACGAUUCAAUCUUUACAAGUACUUCAACUUCAAUACUCAUAGUGAUUUUUAAUAGUUGUCUAUGUUAUGGCCACUAUGAAGAAUAGUAAAAACAAAAAGAGAUUAGAACCUAUAUGGAUGGGCUUAUAACUUGGUGACUUUUUCAACUAUGUAGUAGUCAUGCAAAAAUAUUGUUGUAUGAUUUGCUUUUGUGAUGAUAACAGAUAAUGAAGGAAUUUGUAUAUCUAGUUUUUCUGAACUCAA